rnacentral:lncRNA from 1 species
GUAGAAAAAAGGGAGGCUCCAGACUCCAAGAUGAUGAUUAAGGUGGGCCCUAAUCCAAUCUGACUGGUGUCCUCGUAAGAAGAGAAGAUGAGGACACAGACAAACACAGAGGGAAGACUGUGUGAGGGCACAGGGAGAAAAUGACUCUCUACAACAAGGAGAGAGGCUUCAGAAUAAACCAAUUCUGCUGACACCUCUCAAACUUCUAGCCUCCAGAAGAGUGAGGAAAUCCAUUUCUGUUGUAUAAGCCACCCAGUUUGUGGUGUUUAUUAUGGCGGCCCUAGCAAGGGAAUACAGAGGGAGACAGGUUCAGACAUGUAAAGCGAGCCUUUAAAAGACACCACGUGCACCAGUGGAGCCCCAGGCCCAGGCCCCACAGACCUUGCCUCCUGGUCCAGUCCUUACUUUAUCUCAGGAUGUGACAUUGCGUUUCUUAUGGAAAAGAUCUCACUAACCUACUUCAUUUAGGAAUGCAAUUUAAUUGGCAACUCAACGGUGAUGUCGCUUCUUUUGCCAUUUUUCUGCAACACCAAAGGAAAAAAUUUUAAGCCAGCUUUUUUUAGCUGCAAAGAUGACAAAUGUUAUCAACAAUAUCCAACCAGAGUAUAUUUUCAUCCCUUUUCAUCCCGUCACGAUAAGCCAGAAGUAUUUGUUGCCAGAAAUGGAAAACAGCUUGUUCAUCAGCCAGAUGAUCGCAGUGCUCAGAAGUUCCACUCGUUUGCCAUGUGUGAAAAGUUAAGAAUUGAAAACAGACAGGCUUGCUCUGCUUAAACCGUGAGUUCUGUGAAGCAAGAGAAAGAGAAAUUUGGAUACUAGGAGAAGAGUUGUGAGAUGGUUUCGACGGCAAAGUGAACAGGGCCUUUUCACAUUAUUCUGAGAUGGGACCUCUGGGUUGAUUUGAUAGUGGAUAUGACUGUUCUCUAAUUGGCUAGAAGAUGAGUCUAAAGUUACCAACCACCGGAGGAUACUUUUGUGUUCUAGAACAAAUUCCAAUGUCCUACACAAAUGUGAUGCUGGGGACUUCUCUGUUACCUGACACCAAAUUUCCUAGACAUUUCCAUUAUACUUCCUCUUCCUGAUUAUCUUGAGUGGGAAAUCUCCAUGAGUUCUUAGUAGAAGGCAGAAGUAUACAGUGGACCUGGGCCUUCAUUAGAAACCAUGAGACUUCAAAUGAGAGCCUGAAUUAUUCCUUUAUGUUUUCAUUUAUGUGAGAAAAUAAGGGAUAUUGUUGACUUUUUAUGAGAUUAAGUUACCCAGUUAUCCAUCCUAUUAUUAUAAGUUUUAGUGUUUGCAAAGAGAUUUCUGAUCGUUUUUAUUAGUCUCUUUGUAAUAGCUUCAGGGACUUUUUGACAAAAGAGAGAACCAUUUUAAGCAGUAGAAAUGUAGGCUUACAGAGGUCAAAUGGUUAAUUUGAGAUUGCCCAGCAAAACAAAACAAUACGAAAAAGAACACCUGAAGAAAAAUCAAGAUUCAUACUCUGGGCUGUAAUUACCAUUCUGUAGGUUUCCGGAAGCUCAUAUAGUCACAUUACAUUUUGUUCAUGUCGUUAGAAAUCAUUUGCAGUUCAACACUUAGAUUCCCUCCUGUGUUUGAUUUGCAAGGUCUUGGAAGUUAACUUGAACUCAAGGAUUUGUCUACCUAAGAGAGGCAAAUAGAAAAACCCCUAAAGCCACCUGACCUGAUUCUUCUUUGUUAAGACCAGCUCAGAAUAGAGUGAAAUAAGCAAGCUGCAGAAAGACAAUGCUACGUUGAGUUCCACUUCCUCUUGAUAAAUUCAGAACAGCCAGUCCAUCUUAAGGGUGGAUGUUUUUAGCAGCAGGGAGUGGUAGUUGGAUGGAGGCAAGCGGAUGGAAAGGAGGAGAGAGGAGAAGAGAGACAAACUCAGGUGCCCCAGAAAAGUCCACUUUCUCCGUCCCCAUUCAGGCCACCUUCAUCUUCCCCCACCCUCUGCUGGCCUUUCUGGGGGCUCAGGUUUUGAGCUGACUGAGCCCUCAGCGGGAGACCACAACGCAUUUUCAGAUGAAAGGACAACCCUGAAGGUACCUAUUACAUGUCUGUGAGCAGAGAAACAAAGGCCCGGCUGCUGACACCCUCCCACUAACUUGAGUUUUAAUGGUAGGUUUGAUUUCCUCACGCUUAGCUGAAAGAAAGGGAAAAAACUAAGCGGAAAGAACGAGGGUGUGGGUAUCUGUGGUGGUGGGGAAACGACAGCUGUUGUAUUCAUGGUUAAUCAGGUGUGUCUGGCUUUGUGUCGCAUCUGUCUGCUACUGUUGCCAGGCCACAUGUGAAAGGGAACCGAGGGGAAGGGGCCAUUCAUGUUCAAAGCCAGUAGCACUGACCUCUGCCUCGUUCUCUUCAGGGUAGGAAAGCUUGUCUAUUUAACUUUCCCUAUUAUAGGAAGCUGUAAUUCUACUCUAUUAGCCCACCCUAACCAUUUUGGCCUGACAAAUGCAAGCUGCAUCCAGAAUGCCAUAAAUCUGCAUGGGAAGGAGUCCUCCUCCCUCCUUCCCAUUUUUUUCCUUUGGGGUUCGGUUCGAUUUGUCAAACAAGAGAAAACCAGCAAGAGAGAGAAAAAUGAGAACUCAGGGCAUCUUGGUUCACCUUCCAUCUUAAAUGGGCCUAGGGACCGAGAUGGGGGCUGGGAGGCACCCCAAGGUCAAGCCUGGAGCACUGGUUCCCCCUCCAGAUCUGUUUAUCUCACGAGUCCCACAUGCGUGUGGUGAUUGCGUCAGACCUUAGUCAUCUCCCUGGCACCAAAUCCUCCUCCUGGAUCCUUGAUCCCCCUCCUCCUUCUCUGCCCACAUACAGAGGGACCAUGAUGGAGGAGGGGAGGCUUCUGGCUUCUCCUGGAGCCAGGCCUGUGUUCUAGAUAUUGCUGGCCCAGGCCUGCCAGGCACGACUCUCCUCUCUGGCAUAUGGAGAAACAGCUGAAAUGGAAACAACCCCCAAUGCACCACAUUGCACUAAAGCUUAGCGUCAGAGUUCAAAGGACUACUCCAAUUGGAGAUCAAACUGAUCCCUCCCACUGUGGCCUUUUUUGAGGGGGUCCAUCACAACCCUUCGGGGGUGCUUUUCUCCAGCACUUCCGCUUCAGGGCCAGCCCUUGUGUUUCUUGGAGUAAAUGAUUGCUGUCAGCAUUUCCAACACCAUGGAGUUCUGGCUCCAACUUUGGCUUCCUGGAGAAUGGGCCAUCAUAGACUUAUUACAGGGUUCAGAAGAGCUUGCCAUCUGCAAUCUAUUUUAGUUGUCACUGCCUCUUAAAAUAGGCACUAACUUUUAUCCCAUCACAUUAAUUCCUCUCAUGUUGAGGCUAGAGUCGAGCUUUUGGGGUGUGUGUAUGCACGUAACUAUCUUUUUAAAAUCAGAAGGGUUAUUUUCCUAAGACAUGGGUUAUCAGCAGCACAGCUGAGUUUCCUCUUUCUACUGGCCUGUGCUGAUGAAGUUGGUUGCGUUAUUGACCUGCAGCUUUGGGGUCAGAAUGCUUUUGGUUCCCUGAUGUAGAAGGACAUUGCAAAACUAUCCCAGUGCCCUGUGCACUGUCUUUCUCUCUCUGAUACUCCCCAGAUCUCCAAAUUUUAAUGGUGUCAAUAGACAUAACUCAUGCUCCUGCUAGAAGCCUAGCACCCUGCUAGGCUCUGUGAGGACUUUGAGAAUUUGUCAUCUUGUGAGACGCCAUGAAUAAUGCAAGAAAUAGCAAAACAGGUCUGAAAAUGAAGUCUAACUAAAAAGUGUACAAAUCCUAAGUGUACAGCUCUAUGAAUUAUUACUAAGUGAAUAUGCUCACGUAACCAUCACCUAGAUUAAGAAACAGAACAUUACCGCCACUGGAAACUUCUUAAAGUUCUACCUAGGUGGACACCUUGUUAUAUCUAAAACAAUUCUACAACGUGAUUGGGAGUGAGAUUUAGUUCUUAAUUAUGUGGCUAUGGAAAUGUAGAUUUUGAAAGGUUCCCAUUGGCUGGAAGAGAUUUGCCCAUGGGAAGAUUUUGAGUAUGCCCUGGGCUGGCCUGCUGAAGUUGAACUUUAGAGAACCCGGGCGGGCUGGCUGUGCAAUGCUCUUGGCUCCAGAGAAGGACAUGCAAGAUUCUGGCAUCCUUUUUAAAAAAAUUGUGGUAAAAUAUACAUAACAUAAAAUUAAUCAUUGUAAUCAUUUUUAAGUGUGCAGCUCAGCAGUGUUAAGUACAGAUUGUUGCGCAAUGAUCACCACCAUCCAUCCCCAGAGCUCUUUCAUCUUGAAAAACGGAAACUCAAUACCCAUUAAACAGCAACUCCCUAUUUCCCUCCACCCCCAUACCCGGUAACUACCAUUCUACUUUCUGUCUUUCUGAAUUUGACUACUGUAGGUACCUCACAGAAGUAGAAUCAUGCCAUAUUUGUCUUUUUGAGACCGUUUUAUUUCACUGAGCGUAAUGUCCUCAAGGUUCAUCCAUGUCAUGGCAUGUGUCAGAAUUCCCUUCCUUUUUAAGGCUGAAUAAUAUUCCACUGUACAUGUGUACCACAUUUAGUUUACUCAUUCAUCCAUCCAGGGACUCUUGGGUCACUGCCACCUUUUGGCUCCUGCAAAUAAUGCUGCUUUGAACAUGGGUGUACAAAUUACCCUUAUGCACCUUUCCAUUCUUUUGGGUGUAUACCUAAAAGUGGGAUUGCUGGAUCAUAUGGUAAUUGUAUCUUUAGUUUUGGAGGAAUUACUAUAUCAUUUGCUGUAGCAGCUCACUAUUCUGGAAUCCUUUUCACCUGGACCAUUUCCUCCUGACCAGCCUCCUGGAUGGCAUUAGAGGGAGCCUGACACGUGGAUUGAGGUGGUGGCAAUAGUGAGGAUGGUGGUCUGUACUCUGUAUGUGCCCGUUGUUGGGAAUCUAGAGCAAAUGGGGCAGGAUGGAGUGUGACACCACAAUCCAUGGUGGAAACUUGAGAGUUCACUGAAUAGAGGGGGAGGAAUUUAUUUAUUUACUUAUUUUUAUUUUUGAGACAGGGUCUUGCUCUGUCACUUAGGCUGGCAUGCAGUGGUGCAACAUAGCUCACUGCAGCCUUGAACUCCUGGGCUCAAGAGAUGUUUCCACCUCAGUCUCCUGAGCAACUGAGACGACAGGCCCACAUCACCACACCUAGCUAUUUAAAAAAAUUAUUUUUAUUUUGUAGAGAUGGGGUCUCAUUAUGUUGCCCAAGCUGCUCUUGGUCUCAAACUCUUGAGCUCAAGUGAUGCUCCCACCUUCAGCCUCCCAAAGUGCUAGAUUUACAGACGUGAGCCACUGUGCCCAGUCUGUGGGAAUAGUUCAUUUUGCACAAAGAUAAAUGCUUUUCCCCCUAAUUUGUGGGAGACUGAGGUUAAAGGAGUCCUUAAUAACCAGGUAUUCAGAGGCCUUCUGCCUGUUCAGUGUAUCACCUCCAGAUUUUUGGGGGGCCUUUAGGCGUAAGUGUUGAGAUAUUUAUAGAACAGAUUAUGAGCUUUUAAAUAGAUUACCUAAAAAAAAAGAAGAAGAGAGAGAGUGAGGGAAAUGGUAGCCAGUAAACCAACUGAGGAAGGCACACACCUUUUGCCUGAUAGGGAUGUCGAGGAGAGGGAUGCCACUUGAAUACGAAGGUCGUUCUUGGGCUCACGGGUGCAGUCGUUUGGGUUUAGUGCUGGCUGCUGAUGCCAGAAGCACUCAGUAUUGAACAUUCAGGGGCUUCUUCAAACAAUUUUAAGUAUUUCUGUUUUCUAAAUCUUGAUGCUUUAUUGCUAGGGAUAAGCUCACAUUAAUAUCCACUGGAAGGAAGAACUAUGAGGAUCACCAGGGUGAGGACCUUUAGAACUGAAGAAGGACACAUUAUUAUUGCUAAAAGAAUAUCUGCUUCUUCCCAGUUCCUUCCCUUUGGCCUUCUCCCAUUUCAUUAUAGGAAAAAAAAGCUCCAUGAAAUUACAUAUUGUUUUCUUAAAUUUAAAAGAUACGUAUGGCUGCCACCUAAAGUCUGUCAAGGAAAAAAAAUGUCCUACCCCAAAUGGUAACCAUUAUUUAACAGUUGUUUUAUUUUCUUCCAAAACGCUCUGUAUAUAUUCACUGUGCUUUUGAGGCAGCACAGUUUAGUUCUAAUUACUUACAACCCAAACACCACCAAUUAUAAAAAUAUACAGAUACUACCCGUAUGCAACUCUUUACCAUUAUAAACUACUUUCACAUAUAAUUGAACCUUAUCAAAAUUGAAAUUAGUAGUAGUCUUUUUUUUUUUUUUUUUGAGAGGGAGUCUGGCACUGUUGCCCAGGCUGGAGUGCAGUGGUGUGAUCUUGGCUCUUGGCUCACUUCAACCUCUGCCUUCCGGGUUCAAGCGAUUCUCCUGCCUCAGCCUCCUGAGUAGCUGGGAUUACAGGCAUGCGCCACCAUGUCUGGCUAAUUUUUGUAUUUUUAGUAGAGACUGAGUUUUGUCAUGUUGGCCAGGCUGGUCUCAAACUCCCAACCUCAGAUGAUCUACCUGCCUUGGCCUCUGAAGUGCUGGGACUACAGGUGUAAGCCACCAAGCUUGGCUGAAAUUGGUAUUAUUCUUAUUUAAUAGAAAGGAGAGGCAGGGGAGAUUAAGACACUUGUUCAAAUUUACACCACAUGUUAGAAAAUGGAGUUGGGACAAGAAUCCAAGUCAUUGAAGUAAACUGUAGGUCCACAAGCCUUUCUCCUCCACCAUAGAAUCUGGAGUGAACAUUGGAGGCCAAAGUGCCUUACAGAAAUACUUAAAGGAGCUACCAAGUCACUGGCUUCAUAAAGCUGACUAAUCUUCAUGUGUCCAUGGUGUCAGUUUAUGAAACCCUUUAUCUUAUACGAGGAGGCACACUGGACUCACUAAGAAUUGCAAUGAGAAUUGAGUUUAUUGGAAUAGGUAUAACCUCAAUAGAAUCAUAGAGAAGACAACUGAGAACCUGGAAAACAUUUUUAGUAUUCAUGAGUGUGUUGGCACCAGCUUAUUUAUAAAGUUGUUUUGACAACGUGUGUGCCUUAAACUUCUAUUUAUAAGAAGUAAAAUGGAAUCAUCUUCUUACCCUGCUGAGUUGCAAAUUCUGUUUUAGGGCAAAUUUUUAAUCUGCCUCUUUAAUAUAGAGCAAUAGAUAUAUUUUUUUUCCUGCUGAGUUUAUUUUUUCAAGUACAUAAGUUAAUUAAGAACCAUUUACCUGAAGAUAUGUUUUCUUCCUUAUGAAGUACAUAAUGAGAACAUGGCCACAGAUGUUAGGUAGUGACAGAAAUGCCUGUCUGGAAGGUGAAUUCUUUAAAUUUUUUUUAUCUCACAAUAGCUGUAUAGAGAAUUGUUGAUGGUUCAUGUUUUAUUUCCCUUUGUUAUAAAAUUUUCAUAGUUUGCAAAAAUAAAAGUUAUGGGCUAUGUGUCCUUUAUUUGAUACUCCCUGUGAGAAAGGGUAAGAUAGAAGAUUCAGUAAUGGCCAGUGUUGGUGGAAGAGACUGCUGCUUGUAACCAGUAGAGAGGAACGGGGGGUGGGGAAGUUUACUUCAGCACUGUAUUGAUUAGAAUUAGAUUCUUCUUUAUAGGAGACAGAAAUAUCUUAUAUAAGUGGCAUAAAAAUAUGAAAGUAAAUGUGUCUUUUACAUAAAAGAAAUUCAGAGUUGCAGUCUAUGGCUGGUAUGGUUCCUCCAUGAGGUUUUCAGAUACUCAGUUUCCUUCUAGUUCAUUAAUCUGUCAUUCUUAGGUUAUAGCUUUUGUCUUUAUUGUCUUCAUGAUUCAAGAUGGCUGCUAGAGCUCCAGCCAUCAUUCCUUCCUUCCUUCUUUCCUUCCUUCAUUUCUUUCUUUCCUUCUUUCCUUCUUUCUCUCUUUCUCUCUCCUUCCUUCCUUCCUUCCCCCCUUCCUUCCUUCCUUCUUUCUUUCAUUCUUUUGUUCUUUCUUGCUCUCUCACCCAGACUGGAGUGCAGUGGCACAAUCACAGCUCACUACAGCCUCUAACUCCUGGGCUUAAGUGAUCCUCCUGCCUCAGCUUCUCGAGUAGCUGAGGCUACAGUUGCACAGUACUAUGCCUGGCUAAUUUUUAAAUUCUUUGUAGAGAGAGGGUCUUGCUUGGUUUCCUGGGCUGGUCUUGAAAUCCUGGCCUUGAUCUCCUGCCUUGGCCUCCCAAAGUUGCUAGGAUUACGGAUAUGAGCCACUGCACCUGGCUCAUGUGUGUGUGUGUGUGUGUGUGUGUUUUUACAGAGGAACUUCCUAGAAAUUCCACACAAUACUUCUGCUUAUGUUGUAUUGUCCAGAACCUAGUCAUAUGGCCACAUUUACCUGCCAGGUAGGCUGGGAAAUAUAUGUUGUGGAUGGCAAUAAGCUGAAAUAAAAAUUGAAGUUCUGUUAUUGAAAAGGGGAAAAAUGGAUUUUUUUUUCCAGGAAGAACUUUUUAUUAAUAUAAAGUUUUAAGAUAUUCACCAGUCAGAUCUAAACUUACUCAUUAAACUCUAUUUUUAAAAAAUGAACACACUGUACUGCAGUGAAAGGCAGGAACGUGGUUUUAGACACUGAUUGAAAACCAGUGUCUUCACGCACUGAGAACAGGAAACAUUCUGCACUGCGAACGAAGUGCACAGUCAACAGGAAGACACACACACACGACAGAAAGCCCCCAGUGUGAGUGACCGUGUACCUGGGCAGGUGACAGGAUGCCCAGGCCGUGGCUUGGACAUGGCUGCCACGCUGCGAUGCCUGCUGGGCCCCACAAGGACUGGGGACACACACAGAGCCCAGCUAUACACUGUGAUAGAGUCCACCCAUUUUGCUACCCUAUACCCAUGUGCACUGUUCUCCUACCUUCCUGCUACCUGGAUUGUGAUUGUAAGGCCUGGAUUCCAAGAUGUUAACUUGAUAAUAAAAGCCACACACAAUAGAACAGUAAGAUGCAAGGCACAUGCAUCCCUGGCACUGUGGAGCUGUGGACAGACUAGCUCUAGAUUUCCACGUGAGAGAGAAAUACCUCUCUAUUUUGAUUAAACCAUUUUGCUAGAGUUUUGAUGGUUGCAGCUGAGCCUAAUCUUAACAGAUACAAGCAUAAUAUAAACUUAUAAAAUAGUGUUCUUUUUAAGAUUGUGUCUUACUUUGCCUACCAAUGCAGGUGGACUGACCAUCUGCCUAUCCAGCCUGGCCUACCAUGUGAUACUAGGUAUACGAAGUUGGCUCAGAAGUUAAUUUCACUCACGGGAGCUUCUGUUCUAGGAAGAACAAACAAACCAAUGCAGUAAAGGGACUCCCAUUGCUUUAAUGGAAAUCUGUAUAAAAGAGAGUGGUGCCCAGAGAUAUUUGCUAUAUGCUCUACUGCCAUCUUAGACUAGGAAAAACCAAAACCAAAACAAUGCUGACCAUAGCAUAUUUUUUUCAUCAUUGACAUUAUCUUUAUAUUAAUCACUUGUAAUUAUUCCUUGAAUAUACAAAAUCUGACUAUUGGUUUUUGUUUAUAUUGAGAGAAUGAUGACAUCAGAUUAAACAUUAAUUUUCCCUUGAGAAUCUUUCAAUACAAUUGGAGUAGAAUUUUUUUUUUUUGAGACAGGGUCUUGCUGUGCCACCCAGGCUGGGGUGCAGUGGGGCAAUCAUGGCUCACUGCAGCCUCAACCUCCUGGGCUCAGGUGAUCCUCUUGCCUCAGCCUCCUAAGUAGCUGGUACCACACGCGUGCACCACCACACCUGACAAAUAUUGGAAAAUUAUUUAUAGAGAUGAGGUCUCCCUAUGUUGUUCAGACUGGUCUCAAACUCCUGAACUCAAGCGCUCCUCUUGCCUCGGACUCUUAAAGUGCUGAGAUUGCAGGUGUGAGCCACUGCACCCAGCCUGGAGCAGAAUAUUUUUACAUAAAACUAAAGAGAGGUUGGCGACUUAUAAUCGUGUUCAGGAGGUAGCAAAUGUUUUACUUAGGUGAGAAGAAAUAUACUUUUCGUGUUGUCAUAGAGUAAGCCCAAUCCUUAUUUACUUUUGUUACCAUUGGCAUGACAACAAUCAUUGGAGCAUCUUUGUCUUCCAAACAUUUCUUAUAUUAUUUACUUUUUCAUAGCAACUUAAAACGGAAGAUCAUAGAGUUUAGGUGACUUGCCCUAGGACACGCCCUUGGAAAAUAGUAGAGCCAGAAUUUGAAUUCAGUUCUGGGUCUCUUUUUUUUUUUUGAAUUCCAUUCAUGUGUUGAUAAUAGCUGCUAUGGAGACUUAGCCAGGAAAGCAGAUGUGGAUGGUUAGCGGAAGCUAAAGAGGAAAAAGGUUAAGCUUUUUUUUUGAAGUUUUCCUGCUCAGCUAGGAAAACAUUGCUGCAGUUAUCAGGUAAUUGAAGUGUCAACGUGACGCUGUCAGAAAGGUUGGAUGAAUUUGUUCCUGUUGGCCUAUAUUUGGCUGUUAAGUGAGUUGCACAAUUGCAGUUUUCAGGUUAAGAAACUCUCUGGCAGUCGUGGGAGUUCCUCUUUAGAAGCAACUCUGCUAACAUGCAAAAUCAAUGUCACUGAAGAUUUUGCUUAUGUUACUGCCUCCAACACUGUUUGAUCCUUACAUAAAAGAGACAUUUGUCAUUUGACAGGACUAAGACUGGGAAAGGUUGUGGAGGCUUCCCCCAGCUGUGGUGCACAAAUAUCUACACAUUCUGUCUGCUUAAGUUUCUUUGGAAUGUUUUCAUUGCAAAGGCUGGGUCACUGAGGGGGCCUGCCCUUGCCCUUUGACCUUGGUAAAUUACUGCCCCCAGUCCUGAUGAGUUUGCAGGACAAACUUCCAUCAUCUUCCCAACCUUGGCAAUGAGGGAGAAGGCUGGACCUCCCUGGCUUUGUUUUAAUCCAUUUUCACCUCCCUUUUCUUUUUCUUUCUCUUAAUUCUUGUUGUUCUUCCUUUGAGUGACUACCAGCCCCUAUGUAACUCUUUCUCUUUUUUUUCUACCCCUCUAUCUUGGCUGCCACUCAACUUCAAAGCUCACUUCAGCAGGAGAAAUGUGUGAGUUGUAUGGAAAUGCUGCCCUCUGGACUUUCAGUAUUUUAACCCCCGGACUUGAUUCAACUGCUUCCCAAAUGAUUGGAAAGAAAUAUCCCAAGCCCAGAACUGGAGAAACCCUUUUUUUUUCAGUGACCAAAUAGAUUUUGGUGUUGUGCCUAUGUACCUUUGAUCAAUUCAUAUUUCCAAUUUGGGGACAUGCUUUUUCUAAAGACAAGUGUCUUUCACUUAGAGGAACUUAGCUGAUGGAUGACUUGUACAGAUCCAAUUAGUCUUGUUUCAGAUUAUAGGCAUUCAGAAAGAGGUAUCUUUUAAUGGUUUUUUGGGACCGUGGGAAUUUUGUUACAAUAUCUGUCACAUCUUCCAGUAAAAAAGUGAUAGCAAUUUUUUUCUCUUUGGAGGUCUUUUUAAAAUGCCUUCUUUCCUCAUUGCUACAGAUAUGUUCUUGCAUAAAUCUUUGAAGCAAGCCAAUGUCUUCUAGAAUCUCAUUAAAUUUCAUGACUUUCCAUUCCUUGUGUUGAAAAUAUAUUCCAUUUUUUACAUAACAUUUUAAACAUUAUCCCUUAAAAAGGUAAAGGAUGUUCAUAGGGAAUCAGAAAGUUUGUAAAACACAAAUAAUAAAAAUUAAAAUAAUCCAUAAUGAUAAAAUUGUCACGUUUUAUCCUGUUUAUUUUGCUUAGAGAGUGAUAGAGCCUUUGUUGGGUG